rnacentral:rRNA from 1 species
GAUGAACGCUAGCGACGGGCUUAACACAUGCAAGUCGAGGGGCAGCACAGGUAGCAAUACCGGGUGGCGACCGGCGCACGGGUGAGUAACGCGUAUGCAACUUACCUAUCAGAGGGGGAUAACCCGGCGAAAGUCGGACUAAUACCGCAUGAAGCAGGGGUCCCGCAUGGGGAUAUUUGCUAAAGAUUCAUCGCUGAUAGAUAGGCAUGCGUUCCAUUAGGCAGUUGGCGGGGUAACGGCCCACCAAACCGACGAUGGAUAGGGGUUCUGAGAGGAAGGUCCCCCACAUUGGUACUGAGACACGGACCAAACUCCUACGGGAGGCAGCAGUGAGGAAUAUUGGUCAAUGGCCGAGAGGCUGAACCAGCCAAGUCGCGUGAGGGAUGAAGGUUCUAUGGAUCGUAAACCUCUUUUAUAAGGGAAUAAAGUGCGGGACGUGUCCCGUUUUGUAUGUACCUUAUGAAUAAGGAUCGGCUAACUCCGUG